rnacentral:rRNA from 1 species
GGCUCAGAUUGAACGCUGGCGGCAGGCCUAACACAUGCAAGUCGAGCGAGAAAGGUCUUCGGACUGAGUACAGCGGCGGACGGGUGAGUAAUGCGCAGGAAUCUACCUGGUAGUGGGGGAUAACGUCGGGGAAACUCGAACUAAUACCGCAUACGCCCGUACGGGGGAAAGCGGGGGACCUUCGGGCCUCGCGCUAUCAGAUGAGCCUGCGUAGGAUUAGCUUGUUGGUGAGGUAAAGGCUCACCAAGGCGACGAUCCUUAGCUGGUCUGAGAGGAUGAUCAGCCACACUGGAACUGAGACACGGUCCAGACUCCUACGGGAGGCAGCAGUGGGGAAUAUUGCGCAAUGGGCGAAAGCCUGACGCAGCCAUGCCGCGUGUGUGAAGAAGGCCCUUGGGUUGUAAAGCACUUUCAAUUGGGAAGAAAGGUUGCGUGUUAAUAGCACGUAGCUGUGACGUUACCUUUAGAAGAAGCACCGGCUAACUCCGUG